rnacentral:lncRNA from 1 species
UGAUCCCCAAGAGAAAAAAACUAUCGAAGAAUUGAACUACAUGUCUGUCUUGCUAGCUCAGAGGAAAUCUGAGAUAGCUGUGUUACAAGCUCAAUUGCAACAGGCCUCUCAGAGCACAAGUACGGGACCAGGUGCGAUAGAGGACCUGCAGGCUGAAAACGCUCAGCUUAAGACUGAGAUAGCCGUGUUGCAAGCUCAAUCGCAACAGGCCUCUCAGGGCACAAGUACGGGACCAGGUGCCAUGGAGGAACUGCAGGCUGAAAAUGCUCAGCUUAAGGCUGAGAUAGCCCUGUUGGAAGCUCAAUCGCAACAGGCCUCUCAGGGCACAAGUACGGGACCAGGUGCGAUGGAGGAUCUGCAGGCUGAAAAUGCUCAGCUUAAGACUGAGAUAGCCGUGUCACAUGCACAAUUGCAACUGGCCUCUCAGGGCACAAGUACGGGACCAGGUGCGAAGGAGGACCUGCAGGCUGAAAACGCUCAACUUAAGUCUGAGAUGGCGGAUUUCAAGAAACACGUGGAGGACCUGAUUCAGCAAAUGCUAACUGAUCAACGUGCUGCCAUGAAACGACUUGACCGGCUUCUCUUCAAGCCCUAAUCCGACGACUGCUGUUGCCCUCUGCAUGUCGACUCAUGCUUCUAUAGCUUACCCAGAGGCAUAUUUAAGAUUUCGAGCAAAUGGUUGCACUAUUAUGAAAAGGAUGAAUAUAACAUACUAAUUUAAUCGAUUUGACCUUGAGGUUCUUAUAAAAAAAAAGAAUAAUAAUAAUGAUCACCAAACAUAAACAAUGGACCAAAAUUUGGACAAUUUUUUUUUUU